rnacentral:tRNA from 1 species
UAAUUCAUGAUCCUGGAAGAGGAGCUCCUUUAGCAAUGGUUCAAUUU